UACGUAGGGGGCAAGCGUUGUCCGGAAUCAUUGGGCGUAAAGAGCGUGUAGGCGGCUCGGUAAGUCCGCUGUAAAAGUCCAGGGCUCAACCCUGGAAAGCCGGUGGAAACUGUCGAGCUAGAGUCCGGAAGAGGCGAGUGGAAUUCCUGGUGUAGCGGUGAAAUGCGCAGAUAUCAGGAGGAACACCAAUGGCGAAGGCAGCUCGCUGGGACGGUACUGACGCUGAGACGCGAAAGCGUGGGGGAGCAAACAGG
rnacentral:rRNA from 1 species